UACGAAGGGUGCUAGCGUUGUUCGGAAUCACUGGGCGUAAAGCGCGCGCAGGCGGUCUUCCAAGUCAGUGGUGAAAGCCCGGAGCUCAACUCCGGAACUGCCAUUGAAACUGUUAGACUUGAGGACGAGAGAGGUGAGUGGAAUUCCCAGUGUAGAGGUGAAAUUCGUAGAUAUUGGGAAGAACACCGGUGGCGAAGGCGGCUCACUGGCUCGUAUCUGACGCUCAGGCGCGACAGCGUGGGGAUCAAACGGAG
rnacentral:rRNA from 1 species